ensembl:lncRNA
UCAUGUGGAAUAUAUAUCUAAACGUAGUUCAGUAGUAGUCAUGUGGAAUAUAUAUAAAUGUAGUUUAGUAGCAGUCAUGUGGAAUAUAUAUCUAAAUGUAGUUUAGUAGUAGUCCUGUGGAAUAUAUAUAAUCGUAGUUUAGUAGCAGUCAUGUGGAAUAUAUAUAAUCGUAGUUUAGUAGUAGUCAUGUGGAAUAUAUAUAAAUGUAGUUUAGUAGUAGUCCUGUGGAAUAUAUAUAAUCGUAGUUUAGUAGCAGUCAUGUGGAAUAUAUAUAAAUGUAGUUUAGUAGCAGUCAUGUGGAAUAUAUAUAAAUGUAGUUUAGUAGCAGUCAUGUGGAAUAUAUAUAAAUGUAGUUUAGUAGCAGUCAUGUGGAAUAUAUAUAAAUGUAGUUUAGUAGCAGUCAUGUGGAAUAUAUAUAAAUGUAGUUUAGUAGCAGUCAUGUGGAAUAUAUAUAAUCGUAGUUUAGUAGUAGUCAUGUGGAAUAUAUAUAAAUGUAGUUUAGUAGUAGUCCUGUGGAAUAUAUAUAAAUGUAGUUUAGUAGCAGUCAUGUGGAAUAUAUAUAAUCGUAGUUUAGUAGUAGUCAUGUGGAAUAUAUAUAAAUGUAGUUUAGUAGUAGUCAUGUGGAAUGUAUAUAAUCGUAGUUUAGUAGCAGUCAUGUGGAAUAUAUAUAAUCGUAGUUUAGUAGUAGUCAUGUGGAAUAUAUAUAAAUGUAGUUUAGUAGCAGUCAUGUGGAAUAUAUAUAAAUGUAGUUUAGUAGUAGUCCUGUGGAAUAUAUAUAAAUGUAGUUUAGUAGUAGUCCUGUGGAAUAUAUAUAAAUGUAGUUUAGUAGCAGUCAUGUGGAAUAUAUAUAAAUGUAGUUUAGUAGCAGUCAUGUGGAAUAUAUAUAAUCGUAGUUUAGUAGUAGUCAUGUGGAAUAUAUAUAAAUGUAGUUUAGUAGUAGUCCUGUGGAAUAUAUAUAAUCGUAGUUUAGUAGCAGUCAUGUGGAAUAUAUAUAAUCGUAGUUUAGUAGUAGUCAUGUGGAAUAUAUAUAAAUGUAGUUUAGUAGUAGUCCUGUGGAAUAUAUAUAAAUGUAGUUUAGUAGCAGUCAUGUGGAAUAUAUAUAAUCGUAGUUUAGUAGUAGUCAUGUGGAAUAUAUAUAAAUGUAGUUUAGUAGUAGUCCUGUGGAAUAUAUAUAAUCGUAGUUUAGUAGUAGUCAUGUGGAAUAUAUAUAAAUGUAGUUUAGUAGUAGUCAUGUGGAAUAUAUAUAAAUGUAGUUUAGUAGCAGUCAUGUGGAAUAUAUAUAAUCGUAGUUUAGUAGUAGUCAUGUGGAAUAUAUAUAAAUGUAGUUUAGUAGUAGUCCUGUGGAAUAUAUAUAAUCGUAGUUUAGUAGCAGUCAUGUGGAAUAUAUAUAAUCGUAGUUUAGUAGUAGUCAUGUGGAAUAUAUAUAAAUGUAGUUUAGUAGUAGUCCUGUGGAAUAUAUAUAAAUGUAGUUUAGUAGCAGUCAUGUGGAAUAUAUAUAAUCGUAGUUUAGUAGUAGUCAUGUGGAAUAUAUAUAAAUGUAGUUUAGUAGUAGUCCUGUGGAAUAUAUAUAAUCGUAGUUUAGUAGCAGUCAUGUGGAAUAUAUAUAAUCGUAGUUUAGUAGUAGUCAUGUGGAAUAUAUAUAAAUGUAGUUUAGUAGUAGUCCUGUGGAAUAUAUAUAAAUGUAGUUUAGUAGUAGUCCUGUGGAAUAUAUAUAAAUGUAGUUUAGUAGCAGUCAUGUGGAAUAUAUAUAAUCGUAGUUUAGUAGUAGUCAUGUGGAAUAUAUACAAACGUAGUUCAGUAGUAGUCAUGUGGAAUAUAUACAAAUGUAGUUUAGUAGUAGUCCUGUGGAAUAUAUAUAAACGUAGUUUAGUAGCAGUCAUGUGGAAUAUAUAUAAUCGUAGUUUAGUAGUAGUCAUGUGGAAUAUAUACAGUGCCUUGCGACAGUAUUCGGCCCCCUUGAACUUUGCGACCUUUUGCCACAUUUCAGGCUUCAAACAAAGAUAUAAAACAAUUUUUUUGUGAAGAAUCAACAACAAGUGGGACACAAUCAUGAAGUGGAACGACAUUUAUUGGAUAUUUAAAAACUUUUAACAAAUCAAAAACUGAAAAAUUGGGCGUGCAAAAUUAUUCCAUGUGGAAUAUAUAUGCUGAAACUUAUUCAGAACAAUAACAGGUUGCUCAAUAGAAAAACAAGAUACAAUCGUUUUCUGUUUAAAAGAGCAAAAAGUAUUUCUACUUUGCAUUUGAAAAUAAUUAGAAAUAAGCAUAUUUCCUACUAUUUAUUUCAUUUACAAGAUCAUUGCAAAAUAAAUUCCUUACCUUUUCUGACUCGCAGAACAAGACCUACAACAAGUUCGGAUAGGCUACCAUUCACCCCAUCCCUAUUUAAUUAGACACAUUUCACAGUAGUAAAUAAGCUAUUUCAAGCAGUUUGUUGCUCUCCGCGUUUUAACCCAACGCGCAGUUUAGCGGUAGAACAGAAGGUUUUCUAGGCUACUUCUGAACACUGAAAUUUUGUUUAUAAAAUCUUAAAAACACCACAUUGCAGAAUACAUUUCUCAUUCCUUUUCCGGCCAUGAGUUCAUAUUCCCUAAAUAGCCAUACAACAAAUGAUGGUGCGCAUCCCAUUUAAUUGGGCCUAUCACAUGCUGAACAAAAUGUGUUGGUUGUUUCAUGAGCUGAAAUGAAAAAUUAAAUUAAAUGGAAAACCCCCAGAAAUGAGCAUUUCUCCUGGGCCAAGAUAAUCCAUCCACCUGACAGGUGCCACACCUGCCACACAUAUCAAGAAGCUGAUUAAACAGCAUGAUCAUUACACAGGUGCACCUUGUGCUGGGGACAAAAGGCCACUUUAAAAUGAGGUUUGUCACACAACAAAAUGUCUCAAUUGGCAAGAGAAUUUGCCAGAGAAUUUAAUGUUAAUUUCUCUACCCUAGCUGCCUCCAAUGUCGUUUUAGAGAAUUUGAAUCUAACCGGCCUCACAAACGCAGACCACGUGUAACCAGACCUCCAUAUGCCUCUUCACCUGCGGGGAGGGGGAAGGGGUGCUGAGUAUUUAUGUCUGUAAUAAAGCCCUUUCGUGGUGAAUAACUCAUUCUGAUUGGCUGGGCCUGGCGGGUGGAGCCCUCCCCAGUCAUGUGAAAUCCAUAAAUGAAGGCCUAAUGAAUUUAUUUUGACCGAUUUCCCUAUAUGAAUUGUAACUCAGUAAAAUCUUUGAAGAUGUUGCGUUUAUACUUUAGUUCAGUAUAAUUUCAGGUGUUUGCUCCAUACAGAGGACAGGGUGGUUCAUAACAUACAGUACAAUUUAACAGGUGAGCAGACAGUUGAUAUUUUGAAGUGUUUAGGCUCCACUGUAAGUAGGACCUACUGUAGUACAUUAUUUCCCUAGUACAUCAAAUGGGCAGUGCAGCAUAUUUAUGUUUGGGGAAAGAGUGAAUGCAAAACAUUAGGGAGCCGUCAAAAUGGACACAAUUGUUACCAGGAGGAAAAUGGGGAGGGUCGUGCUUUUUCAAUUUCAAUCAGGGGGGAGGGUUUAGUUUGGGGUCUUUUUUAUUCCAGGGGAGGGUCAUGUAAUUGAUUCAAAGUCCUUUUGCUCGGGGUUUGAGAAUUAGUUGCUUAUUUUAGUAUUUUGUGUGUGCCCGAUGAGGCCCUUCAUCCCUGAUUGUCUGCUGGGCAGCAAUAUCAAGUGGUUCUAGUGUGGUCUCAAUCAAAUUACACAGCACAUACUAUAGAGCAGUGGUUCCACCCUCGUAUGUACAGUACCAGUGGUUCCAACCCCCGUAUGUACAGUACCAGUGGUUCCCCCCGUAUGUACAGUACCAGUGGUUCCAACCCCCGUAUGUACAGUACCAGUGGUUCCCCCCAUAUGUACAGUACCAGUGGUUCCCCCCCGUAUGUACAGUACCAGUGGUUCCAACCCCCGUAUGUACAGUACCAGUGGUUCCCCCCGUAUGUACAGAACCAGUGGUUCCCCCCGUAUGUACAGUACCAGUGGUUCCUCCCCGUAUGUACAGUACCAGUGGUUCCAACCCCCGUAUGUACAGUACCAGUGGUUCCCCCCGUAUGUACAGAACCAGUGGUUCCCCCCGUAUGUACAGUACCAGUGGUUCCUCCCGUAUGUACAGUACCAGUGGUUCCCCCCGUAUGUACAGUACCAGUGGUUCCUCCCGUAUGUACAGUACCAGUGGUUCCCCCCGUAUGUACAGUACCAGUGGUUCCCCCCCGUAUGUACAGUACCAGUGGUUCCCCCCCGUAUGUACAGUACCAGUGGUUCCCCCCGUAUGUACAGUACCAGUGGUUCCCCCCGUAUGUACAGUACAAGUGGUUCCCCCCGUAUGUACAGUACCAGUGGUUCCUACCCCCAUAUGUACAGUACCAGUGGUUCCAACCCCCGUAUGUACAGUACCAGUGGUUCCCCCCCGUAUGUACAGUACCAGUGGUUCCCCCCCGUAUGUACAGUACCAGUGGUUCCCCCGUAUGUACAGUACCAGUGGUUCCCCCCCGUAUGUACAGUACCAGUGGUUCCCCCCGUAUGUACAGUACCAGUGGUUCCCCCCCGUAUGUACAGUACCAGUGGUUCCCCCCCGUAUGUACAGUACCAGUGGUUCCCCCCCGUAUGUACAGUACCAGUGGUUCCCCCCCGUAUGUACAGUACCAGUGGUUCCCCCCCGUAUGUACAGUACCAGUGGUUCCUCCCGUAUGUACAGUACCAGUGGUUCCCCCCGUAUGUACAGUACCAGUGGUUCCCCCCGUAUGUACAGUACCAGUGGUUCCCCCCCGUAUGUACAGUACCAGUGGUUCCCCCCCGUAUGUACAGUACCAGUGGUUCCUCCCGUAUGUACAGUACCAGUGGUUCCCCCCCGUAUGUACAGUACCAGUGGUUCCCCCCGUAUGUACAGUACCAGUGGUUCCCCCCGUAUGUACAGUACCAGUGGUUCCCCCCGUAUGUACAGUACCAGUGGUUCCAACCCCCGUAUGUACAGUACCAGUGGUUCCCCCCGUAUGUACAGUACCAGUGGUUCCCCCGUAU